GCCUGGUUAGCUCAAUCGGUAGAGCGUGAGACUCUUAAUCUCAAGGCUGCGGGUUCGAGCCCCGCAUUGGGCU
rnacentral:tRNA from 1 species